rnacentral:tRNA from 1 species
ACGGGGCUAAGUUACUUAGACUGUGUGUUUUCAAAACACUUAGCGGCUGUGUUUGGUCGUCCUGUG